CGAACGCUGGCGGCGUGCUUAACACAUGCAAGUCGAACGGAAAGGCCCUGCUUUUGUGGGGUGCUCGAGUGGCGAACGGGUGAGUAACACGUGAGUAACCUGCCCUUGACUUUGGGAUAACUUCAGGAAACUGGGGCUAAUACCGGAUAGGAGCUCCUGCUGCAUGGUGGGGGUUGGAAAGUUUCGGCGGUUGGGGAUGGACUCGCGGCUUAUCAGCUUGUUGGUGGGGUAGUGGCUUACCAAGGCUUUGACGGGUAGCCGGCCUGAGAGGGUGACCGGCCACAUUGGGACUGGGAUACGGCCCAGACUCCUACGGGAGGCAGCAGUGGGGAAUAUUGCACAAUGGGCGGAAGCCUGAUGCAGCAACGCCGCGUGCGGGAUGACGGCCUUCGGGUUGUAAACCGCUUUCGCCUGUGACGAAGCGUGAGUGACGGUAAUGGGUAAAGAAGCACCGGCUAACUACGUG
rnacentral:rRNA from 1 species